rnacentral:lncRNA from 1 species
UGGCUGUUCCAGAUGCCCUGUCAAUUCUGUCCUUCAUCGAGGGUUUUCCCUGCAUCGCUACCCCCUUACUUCUACACAGACAGACAGACAGACAGACACACACACACACACACACACACACACACACACAGUCCCUGCCCGGUUCUCCGCCUCCUCCCCUUGCCCUGUCACAUCACGACACGGGGGACAAACUGAGUUUUGGAAAUUAGGAGGGAGUGCAGGUCUUCCUUAAGCCCCUCACACCCACCCCACGGAGCCCCGAAAAGCCCCCGGGGCAGGGGACGUGCAAAGCUCGGCCGGGGUGCUGCGUAAAGAGCCGGCAGGGUGGGGCGUGGGGCGGGACGUGCGCGGCGGGGGCGCCUUCGCUGACCGGCUUCCCGGCCGCGCCACUAUAAGGCGGGCUGGCCGACCGCUCAGCCUUCCGCUCGGUCGCUCCCUUCUCCUUUCGCUGCAACCGGCGCUCUAAGCCCAGUCUUCAGCUAUGGGGACCCCCCCUGGAUCAGGCCAUUAGCCUCCUGGUGGCCAUCUGCCACAAGUACUCUGGCUGUGAGGGCGUCAAGAACACCCGGAGCAAGAAGGAGCUGAAAGAGCUUGUCCAGAAGGAGCUCACCCUUGGAGAGAUGAGUGAGCCUCCCAGGCCCCCUCUCCCCACCUCCACUCUAGCAGCAGGACUGGGAGAGGGCGGGGUGCCAGGUGCAUCUGACUCACCCCUAUCCACAUUCCAGGGCCCUAGACCACAUGCCUUAGCAUUGGUUCACACUCUGUGGGGCUGGGGCUACUCAGCCUGGAAUUCCUUCCCUUUGAGUGAGGAACAGAGGAGGGGUAAAGCCAAGUGAACCCAAGGUGGAACUGGAUCUUUGGUGACAAGUGAGAACAGAGACACUUGUAUGAGAGAGGGCUGCCUGGGAGAGGGAAAUGCAGAGAACUCAAGGUCUCAUCACCAUUGAGUCUGGCUUUCCCAUUCUGACACGUUAAAAGAUGCAGGAUGCGGAAAUCGCAGAGCUAAUGGACGAACUGGACCAGAACAAGGACCAGGUGGUGAACUUCCAAGAAUAUGUCACCUUCCUGGGGGCCUUGGCUAUGAUCUACAAUGAACUUCUCCAGGACUGAAAAUAAAUUGGGAGGUGGAGACGCCCUCUAUUUGGUC